UCAAUUUUGAGUACAUACACUCAAAAUAUAUUUCACGUUAUAGUUACCGGAAAAGUUAUGUGAAUAUUUUCCACCCAAGUUUUCACGUAAAUUUUAUAUGACUUUCACAUGACGGGCUUUCACGUAAAAACUAUCUGUCAGUAACAUGAUGUCUAUACGAAAAUCCAUUGAAUUUUACAGUUUGUCUAGGUCCCCUUUAGAUCAUCGCAACCAUUAAAACUAAAUUGCUCUUACGGAUUGUUGCUAACGGUUGCGGUCAACGUCAUGCCACAGAUUUGGUAGAAAACUAGAAGAAAAUGUUAUGUAAACAUGUGCGUGUAUGAGCACCAACAUAUUAUUUAUUCUGUACCUCUUGCCGUAUUAUUCGGGUAACUUUGUACGAGUAAUAUUAGCUUGUAGUAUGAUCAACCAAUCGGAAAUACAAAGCCUUGAUGUAAGUCAUUGGAAGAAGCAAGAAAAGAGAUCGGUGAUAAUAAAGGGGUAAUCCUAUUUCACUUAAAUCUUGUAAAAUGCACAAAAACGAAAUCGCUCAAGUUACAAGGUAUUUGUAAACGUUUUUAUUGCUUCUGUAUUACAGGCAUCAAACUUAUUUUGUACGUUUAUUGUUC